GCUCAGGACGAACGCUGGCGGCGUGCUUAACACAUGCAAGUCGAACGGUAAGGCCCCUUCGGGGGUACACGAGUGGCGAACGGGUGAGUAACACGUGGGUAAUCUGCCCUGCACUUCGGGAUAAGCCUGGGAAACCGGGUCUAAUACCGGAUAUGAACUCCUGCCGCAUGGUGGGGGUUGGAAAGUUUUUCGGUGCAGGAUGAGCCCGCGGCCUAUCAGCUUGUUGGUGGGGUAAUGGCCUACCAAGGCGACGACGGGUAGCCGGCCUGAGAGGGUGAUCGGCCACACUGGGACUGAGACACGGCCCAGACUCCUACGGGAGGCAGCAGUGGGGAAUAUUGCACAAUGGGCGAAAGCCUGAUGCAGCGACGCCGCGUGGGGGAUGACGGUCUUCGGAUUGUAAACCCCUUUCAGUAGGGACGAAGCGCAAGUGACGGUACCUGCAGAAGAAGCACCGGCUAACUACGUGCCAGCAGCCGCGGUAAUACGUAGGGUGCGAGCGUUGUCCGGAAUUACUGGGCGUAAAGAGCUCGUAGGCGGUUUGUCACGUCGUCUGUGAAAUCCCUCGGCUUAACCGGGGGCGUGCAGGCGAUACGGGCAGACUUGAGUACUACAGGGGAGACUGGAAUUCCUGGUGUAGCGGUGAAAUGCGCAGAUAUCAGGAGGAACACCGGUGGCGAAGGCGGGUCUCUGGGUAGUAACUGACGCUG
rnacentral:rRNA from 1 species